GAGACUGGGAUAACACCUGGAAACAGAUGCUAAUACCGGAUAACAACACUAGACGCAUGUCUAGAGUUUAAAAGAUGGUUCUGCUAUCACUCUUGGAUGGACCUGCGGUGCAUUAGCUAGUUGGUAAGGUAACGGCUUACCAAGGCAAUGAUGCAUAGCCGAGUUGAGAGACUGAUCGGCCACAUUGGGACUGAGACACGGCCCAAACUCCUACGGGAGGCAGCAGUAGGGAAUCUUCCACAAUGGACGCAAGUCUGAUGGAGCAACGCCGCGUGAGUGAAGAAGGGUUUCGGCUCGUAAAGCUCUGUUGGUAGUGAAGAAAGAUAGAGGUAGUAACUGGCCUUUAUUUGACGGUAAUUACCUAGAAAGUCACGGCUAACUACGUGCCAGCAGCCGCGGUAAUACGUAGGUGGCAAGCGUUGUCCGGAUUUAUUGGGCGUAAAGCGAGUGCAGGCGGUUCAAUAAGUCUGAUGUGAAAGCCUUCGGCUCAACCGGAGAAUUGCAUCAGAAACUGUUGAACUUGAGUGCAGAAGAGGAGAGUGGAACUCCAUGUGUAGCGGUGGAAUGCGUAGAUAUAUGGAAGAACACCAGUGGCGAAGGCGGCUCUCUGGUCUGCAACUGACGCUGAGGCUCGAAAGCAUGGGUAGCGAACAGGAUUAGAUACCCUGGUAGUCCAUGCCGUAAACGAUGAGUGCUAAGUGUUGGGAGGUUUCCGCCUCUCAGUGCUGCAG
rnacentral:rRNA from 1 species